rnacentral:rRNA from 1 species
GACGAACGUUGGCGGCGUGCUUAAUACAUGCAAGUCAACUGAAGCAGUGGUAGCAAUAUCGCUGUGGAGGUGGCGCACGGGUGAGUAACACGUAGGUAAUCUGCCUUCAGGUCUGGCAUAACUCCGGGAAACCGGGGCUAAUAGCAGAUGAUGCAGCGGCUCGACAUCGAGACAGUUGUUAAAGCUAUGGCGCCUGAAGAUGAGCCCGCGUCUGAUUAGCUAGUUGGCGGGGUAACGGCCCACCAAGGCAACGAUCAGUAGCUGGUCUGAGAGGACGAUCAGCCACACUGGAACUGAGACACGGUCCAGACUCCGACGGGAGGCAGCAGUAAGGAAUAUUGCUCAAUGGGAGAAAUCCUGAAGCAGCAACGCCGCGUGAGGGACGAAGGGCUUUUGCUUGUAAACCUCUGUAGUGAGAGAAAAAAAUCCCAAUCUUUGGGACAUGAUGGUAUCUCAAAAGUAAGCCCCGGCUAACUACGUG